GACGAACGCUGGCGGCGUGCUUAACACAUGCAAGUCGAACGGAGUGGCGAACGGGUGAGAAACACGCGGGUGAUCUGCCCUGCACUUCGGGAUAAGCUUGGGAAACUUGGGCUAAUACCGGAUAGUGCAAGAUGAGCUCGCGGCCUAUAAGAUUGUUGGUGGGGUAAUGGCCUACCAAGGCGUCGACGGGUUGCCGGCCUGAGAGGGUGUACGGCCCCAUUGGGACUGAGAUACGGCCCAGCGUCCUACGGGAGGCAGCAGUGGGGAAUAUUGCCCAAUGGGCGGAAGCCUGAUGCAGCGACGCCGCGUGGGGGAUGAAGGCCUUCGGGUUGUAAACUCCUUUCGACAGGGACGCGGUACCUGUAUAAGAAGCACCGGCUAACUACGUGCCAGCAGCCGCGGUAAUUC
rnacentral:rRNA from 1 species